AUGGUUAAGUGGGAAACGAUGUGGGAAGGCCCAGACAGCCAGGAUGUUGGCUUAGAAGCAGCCAUCAUUUAAAGAAAGCGUAAUAGCUCACUGGUCGAGUCGGCCUGCGCGGAAGAUGUAACGGGGCUAAACCAUGCACCGAAGCUGCGGCAGCGACACUAUGUGUUGUUGGGUAGGGGAGCGUUCUGUAAGCCUGUGAAGGUGUACUGUGAGGUUUGCUGGAGGUAUCAGAAGUGCGAAUGCUGACAUAAGUAACGAUAAAGCGGGUGAAAAGCCCGCUCGCCGGAAGACCAAGGGUUCCUGUCCAACGUUAAUCGGGGCAGGGUGAGUCGACCCCUAAGGCGAGGCCGAAAGGCGUAGUCGAUGGGAAACAGGUUAAUAUUCCUGUACUUGGUGUUACUGCGAAGGGGGGACGGAGAAGGCUAUGUUGGCCGGGCGACGGUUGUCCCGGUUUAAGCGUGUAGGCUGGUUUUCCAGGCAAAUCCGGAAAAUCAAGGCUGAGGCGUGAUGACGAGGCACUACGGUGCUGAAGCAACAAAUGCCCUGCUUCCAGGAAAAGCCUCUAAGCAUCAGGUAACAUCAAAUCGUACCCCAAACCGACACAGGUGGUCAGGUAGAGAAUACCAAGGCGCUUGAGAGAACUCGGGUGAAGGAACUAGGCAAAAUGGUGCCGUAACUUCGGGAGAAGGCACGCUGAUAUGUAGGUGAAGCGACUUGCUCGUGGAGCUGAAAUCAGUCGAAGAUACCAGCUGGCUGCAACUGUUUAUUAAAAACACAGCACUGUGCAAACACGAAAGUGGACGUAUACGGUGUGACGCCUGCCCGGUGCCGGAAGGUUAAUUGAUGGGGUUAGCGGUAACGCGAAGCUCUUGAUCGAAGCCCCGGUAAACGGCGGCCGUAACUAUAACGGUCCUAAGGUAGCGAAAUUCCUUGUCGGGUAAGUUCCGACCUGCACGAAUGGCGUAAUGAUGGCCAGGCUGUCUCCACCCGAGACUCAGUGAAAUUGAACUCGCUGUGAAGAUGCAGUGUACCCGCGGCAAGACGGAAAGACCCCGUGAACCUUUACUAUAGCUUGACACUGAACAUUGAGCCUUGAUGUGUAGGAUAGGUGGGAGGCUUUGAAGUGUGGACGCCAGUCUGCAUGGAGCCGACCUUGAAAUACCACCCUUUAAUGUUUGAUGUUCUAACGUUGGCCCCUAAUCGGGGUUGCGGACAGUGUCUGGUGGGUAGUUUGACUGGGGCGGUCUCCUCCUAAAGAGUAACGGAGGAGCACGAAGGUUGGCUAAUCCUGGUCGGACAUCAGGAGGUUAGUGCAAUGGCAUAAGCCAGCUUGACUGCGAGCGUGACGGCGCGAGCAGGUGCGAAAGCAGGUCAUAGUGAUCCGGUGGUUCUGAAUGGAAGGGCCAUCGCUCAACGGAUAAAAGGUACUCCGGGGAUAACAGGCUGAUACCGCCCAAGAGUUCAUAUCGACGGCGGUGUUUGGCACCUCGAUGUCGGCUCAUCACAUCCUGGGGCUGAAGUAGGUCCCAAGGGUAUGGCUGUUCGCCAUUUAAAGUGGUACGCGAGCUGGGUUUAGAACGUCGUGAGACAGUUCGGUCCCUAUCUGCCGUGGGCGCUGGAGAACUGAGGGGGGCUGCUCCUAGUACGAGAGGACCGGAGUGGACGCAUCACUGGUGUUCGGGUUGUCAUGCCAAUGGCACUGCCCGGUAGCUAAAUGCGGAAGAGAUAAGUGCUGAAAGCAUCUAAGCACGAAACUUGCCCCGAGAUGAGUUCUCCCUGACUCCUUGAGAGUCCUGAAGGAACGUUGAAGACGACGACGUUGAUAGGCCGGGUGUGUAAGCGCAGCGAUGCGUUGAGCUAACCGGUACUAAUGAGCCGUGAGGCUUAACCUU
rnacentral:rRNA from 1 species